CCCGGUAGCUAAAUGCGGAAGAGAUAAGUGCUGAAAGCAUCUAAGCACGAAACUUGCCCCGAGAUGAGUUCUCCCUGAGACUUUAAGUCUCCUGAAGGAACGUUGAAGACGACGACGUUGAUAGGCCGGGUGUGUAAGCGCAGCGAUGCGUUGAGCUAACCGGUACUAAUGAACCGUGAGGCUUAACCUU
rnacentral:rRNA from 1 species